UACGGAGGGGGUUAGCGUUGUNCGGAAUUACUGGGCGUAAAGCGCNCGCAGGCGGUUUGUUAAGCNAGAUGUGAAAGCCCCGGGCUCAACCUGGGAUGGUCAUUUAGNACUGGCAGACUAGAGUCUUGGAGAGGGGAGUGGAAUUCCAGGUGUAGCGGUGAAAUGCGUAGAUAUCUGGAGGAACAUCAGUGGCGAAGGCGACUCCCUGGCCAAAGACUGACGCUCAUGUGCGAAAGUGUGGGUAGCGAACAGG
rnacentral:rRNA from 1 species